rnacentral:rRNA from 1 species
AUACGGAGGGGGCUAGCGUUGUUCGGAAUUACUGGGCGUAAAGCGCGCGUAGGCGGAUUGGUUAGUUGGGGGUGAAAUCCCAGGGCUCAACCCUGGAACUGCCCUCAAUACUGCCAGUCUAGAGAUCGAGAGAGGUGAGUGGAAUUCCUAGUGUAGAGGUGAAAUUCGUAGAUAUUAGGAAGAACACCAGUGGCGAAGGCGGCUCACUGGCUCGAUACUGACGCUGAGGCGCGAAAGCGUGGGGAGCAAACAGGAUUAGAAACCCUAGUAGUCC